UUACGGUCACAUCACAUUGAAACACUGGUUCCUAUACAAUCACCAAAGUUAAGCAAUGUUAAGCCUGGCCAGUACCUAGAUGAGUGACUGUUUGGGAAUACCAGGUGCUGUAA